AACGCAUAUUGCACUCUCUGGCCCUCCAGAGAGUAUGCCUGUUUGAGUAUCAUUAACACACCUCGCCUCCCUUAAGGGCGCUUGUCGCCCUGGUAUAAAUAAGGGGAGCGGUUGUGAGCACUCCAGCGCUCGGGAAGCUGUUGUUGAGCAGUUGGCUCGACGGCGGCCCUAGAGCACAGGUUGCUUUAAAUGGAGCGCGAGCUGUGCAUUGCCACAUCCGACUGGCGUACUAGUUCUCUUUCGAGAUUUCAUUACGCCUACAAUAGUCUGGAUACUUGGCUGCAGCAACGCGACCCCUACUUGACGUGUGGGCGAGCCUCCCGGCCCCCCACACAACCUUUGAUCUCAAAUCAGGCAAGACUACCCGCUGAAUUUAA
rnacentral:misc_RNA from 1 species